rnacentral:lncRNA from 1 species
GUGAAAGCUUCUUAGAGGUGGUUCUAUGAGUUCAGACAAGAAGGAUGCCCAGCCACUCUGGCUGGCCCCACCCCAGGCUUGAGGGCUGUCCCUGCCUCCUUACGCCCUCCAGACUACCUCUGCUUAAGUGCCUCACUCUAGAGCUGCCAACCUGCCCCUCUCAAUGUCCCCUCCUGCAACCAGGGAUGCUGGUCAUGACCUAGCGGGUACCUGUGCCCUAUCUGGGUGACUCUUGGCUCCUUGCUUCUCUGCCCUUUUGGGGAUACACUCCUUUCUUCAUCUCAUCAAGGCUUUUCAGAGUAAACUACUGCAUUUUCCCCCCAUUACAGAGGGCCCUGGGGUUCUCUUCUGAACGACAGUACAAUUAGCAGACCCUACAGCUGUGAGCACAGAGUCUGCCCGGUGGAAAGAGAGUCUGACUUUAAGAAAACAUUGCAGGGAAUCAAUAUUUAUGCUCAGUGUUAACGAGACUCACUGGUCUCUGGGCAGGGGAUUCCAUUCUUGCCUCUUCUUAUCACCAGGGCACAAUUGUGGACACAGCCAUGGCACUGGUUGGCAAGGGCAGAAAACAGACCCUGAGCACAGGAGUUCCACACGGGUGUGAGAAUCACAGCCAGACUUGUCCCUGCCCUGGGGCUCUGCAUCCAUAUGCAUCU